UACAGAGGGUGCAAGCGUUACUCGGAAUUACUGGGCGUAAAGCGUGCGUAGACGGUUAUUUAAGUCGGGUGUGAAAGCCCCGGGCUCAACCUGGGAAUUGCAUUCGAGACUGAAUAGCUAGGGUGCGGAAGAGGGAAGCGGAAUUUCCGGUGUAGCGGUGAAAUGCGUAGAUAUCGGAAGGAACACCAGUGGCGAAAGCGGCUUCCUGGUCCAGCACCGACGUUCAGGCACGAAAGCGUGGGGAGCAAACAGG
rnacentral:rRNA from 1 species